UACAGAGGGGGCAAGCGUUGUUCGGAAUUACUGGGCGUAAAGGGCGCGUAGGCGGCCUGUUAAGUCGAACGUGAAAUCCCCGGGCUCAACCCGGGAACUGCGUCCGAUACUGGCAGGCUUGAAUCCGGGAGAGGGAUGCGGAAUUCCAGGUGUAGCGGUGAAAUGCGUAGAUAUCGGGAGGAACACCAGUGGCGAAGGCGGCGAUCGUGGGCAGAUACUGACGCUGAGGUGCGAAAGCGUGGGAGCAACAGG
rnacentral:rRNA from 1 species